UGUUUGUUGAAAGUUCCAUCAUAAACUCCUCUUAUGUUUUUCAUUCUUGCCGUCCACUUUGUGCAGAUCAGAUUUAUCUUCCAUGGUUGUCCGUCUGAGGAUUCUAUCUUCAGAAGCAGUCGCAUGGCUUUUUGAUCUCCUUUUUUAUAUCAGAUUUUGCACGAUAAAAAGAUUGACGUUGUCGGAUCUAUGUUUUAUAGGCCGUAGAUGUUAAUCAGGCAAAGAUUGGCGUAGAAUGUUAUAUCAAUAUGAAGAGAUCUGUCUUCCCAAGGAUGGUGAAAGGUUUUAUCUCACAAGGGUCGUGGUUCUUAUUUUUCGGAUGCAUCGUGAAAAUCAGGCUUCUGAUGUUGUGAACUAGCGAUGUGGGAUGGACGGGUGGUUUGUGUUUGGAAGGAUGUGUAAGAUGUCAGGGCAAAAAGUCCUAAUUAUUUUGGAAGGGGGCUGAUCCUGAUUUAUCUUUGUCAUCCCAGAUCUUUGCCAUGACAGGUGCGCUUGCAUGGCAGGUCACUGAAACAUAAUAAAAAUUUAGGUUUUCUCGGUGUUUUUGAGGGGAGUUCGCAUGGGGAUUGCCCAGGUUCUCCCCUCUGCUGUGGUGUGGCGUUUCGUGCUCUUUUACUUUUUUUUUUCCCUCUUAGCGCUCUAUUAUUUUCUCCCUUUAAUACUCUGCACCAUCUGAGAUGGAUGCAUGACCAACAUCAUCGCCAACAUCAUCAUCAUCAUCAUCAUCAUCAUCGCCAACAUGGAAUAAUAAUCUUAUGAUCUCCCAAGUCAUUGAUCUUCUACUACUUGCAAAUCGCAAGGCCAAGGUUGAGGCAGCAUAUAUGUACUUCGCUUGUAUUGCUAUUGUAGUUCUUUAGGCCCUUGCAUGGCUUCUGUUUCCAUUGGGUUGAAAGAUGGGGUACUGGCUAUCAAAGAUUUUGAUGAAAGAUGUCCCAGCAGUGAGCAUGAUGUUGGCAGUUGCAUGUCUCUUCUCUGUGAUUAACAUUGAAAAUCAAGGUAUGUGAAGUGUUUAUCAAGCUUGGUCAACUUCCAAGAUUUAUGUCAGAAGGUAUGUGGGACUGCAGCAGUCUACUAGUCAAGCUUUGGAAGGCCCCAUAUAAUCAAAAUUCAUUACUACAGCAGCUCUCUACUGACAUUAGUGUGGAAGAACUGUUUAUUUGUUGUCCAAGAUUGAUCCAUGAGGCACCUGUCACCAUGUAACCAGUUCCUUUACAUAGUGAACUUUUUCAGUGGACUAUGGUCCCGUGGUUUUUCCCCUUUUUAAGGGGUUUUCCACGUAAAUUUUGGUGUUCAGUUUAUAUUCAUACGCGCAAUUAUGUUGGUGAUUGGCACUUUCCCAAUUAUAUCAAAGCUGAAUUACUUCUUUGACGCUCUUGAUAUGCUAUCGCAUCACAGGUAGUCUUUUUUCAUUGUUCCCUAAGUAUCAAGAAAAAGCUAAUAACAUCUAAAUGGAUUUUUAUCUGAUUUAUUCUUAAGUUUCUUUUGCAGGUUGAAGGCACAUUGAAUUUAGUGUGUUAAAGGUUCUAUGUUUUAAAUUUAGCUUUUGGUAGUGAAAUUGAAUCGCAAAUAUUUCUAUGAAAAUUUCCUUGUUUUAUUAGUAGUUCUAUUGUGGGUUUUAUAUUUGAGCGGUGAUGAAGUAUGUUAAUAAUUAUGUUUUGUCUUUCUAUUGUUAUUUUGAAUUUUAGUAGUGUUAGAUUGAACUUUCUUUCAUAGCCCUUUAAUAUUUAAACUAAAAACUUUAUAAAAUGAAAACCAAAAACAAAAA